UGGACGAAAGUCUGACGGAGCAACGCCGCGUGAGUGAUGAAGGCUUUCGGGUCGUAAAACUCUGUUGUUAGGGAAGAACAAGUACAAGAGUAACUGCUUGUACCUUGACGGUACCUAACCAGAAAGCCACGGCUAACUACGUGCCAGCAGCCGCGGUAAUACGUAGGUGGCAAGCGUUAUCCGGAAUUAUUGGGCGUAAAGCGCGCGCAGGCGGUUUCUUAAGUCUGAUGUGAAAGCCCACGGCUCAACCGUGGAGGGUCAUUGGAAACUGGGGAACUUGAGUGCAGAAGAGAAAAGCGGAAUUCCACGUGUAGCGGUGAAAUGCGUAGAGAUGUGGAGGAACACCAGUGGCGAAGGCGGCUUUUUGGUCUGUAACUGACGCU
rnacentral:rRNA from 1 species